rnacentral:rRNA from 1 species
AGCGAACGCUGGCGGCAGGCCUAACACAUGCCAGUCGAACGAACCUUUCGGGGUUAGUGGCGGACGGGCGAGUAACACGUGGGAACGUGCCUUUAGGUUCGGAAUAACUCAGGGAAACUUGUGCUAAUACCGAAUGUGCCCUUCGGGGGAAAGAUUUAUCGCCUUUAGAGCGGCCCGCGUCUGAUUAGCUAGUUGGUUGAGGUAAUGGCUCACCAAGGCGACGAUCAGUAGCUGGUCUGAGAGGAUGAUCAGCCACAUUGGGACUGAGACACGGCCCAAACUCCUACGGGAGGCAGCAGUGGGGAAUCUUGCGCAAUGGGCGAAAGCCUGACGCAGCCAUGCCGCGUGAAUGAUGAAGGUCUUAGGAUUGUAAAAUUCUUUCACCGGGGACGAUAAUGACGGUACCCGGAGAAGAAGCCCCGGCUAACUUCGUG